CGUGUAGGCGGUCUCCUCAGUCUGGUGUGAAAGCCCGGGGCUCACCCCCGGAAGUGCAUCGGAUACUGGGAGACUUGAGUACCGGAGAGGAGGGUGGAAUUCCUGGUGUAGCGGUGAAAUGCGUAGAUAUCAGGAGGAACACCGGUGGCGAAGGCGGCCCUCUGGACGGAUACUGACGCUGAGACGCGAAAGCGUGGGGAGCAAACAGGAUUAGAUACCCUGGUAGUCCACGCUGUAAACGAUGGGCACUAGGUGUUCGGGGUAUUGACCCCCUGAGUGCCGCAGCUAACGCAUUAAGUGCCCCGCCUGGGGAAUACGGCCGCAAGGUUAAA
rnacentral:rRNA from 1 species